rnacentral:tRNA from 1 species
GAGGGUAUUGCUCAAGAGGUAGAGCGCAUGCUUGGCAAGCAUGAGGUCCUGGGUUCGAUCCCCGGUGCCUCCU